rnacentral:lncRNA from 1 species
GCUUUGCUUCUUUCCUCGCCACCUUGUAGAUCUCCCUGUUCACUCUCCGUUCUUCCUCGCUUGUGCUCCCUGUCAACUUAGCAAACGCCGCCUUCUUCACCUCCACUUUUCCUUCGACUAAAUCGUUCCACCACCAGUCACCCUGAUGUCUGCCUGAAUAGCCCUUGGCUACACCGAGCACAUCCCGUGCUACCUCCCUAACCAAGUUCGCCGUCUCUGACCACAUAGCGU